GUGUUUUCCUAAAUCUACCCUUUUCCCAAAUCUCUUCCCGUGACCAAGAGAUUUCAAAGAUAAUGAUUACAAGAUGAAAGAGAUGAGUUCUAAUCCCUAGAUAAUACCCAAGAGAAACACACUCUUCUUAUCUAGCCUUGAUGAUGAUGAAGAACCCUAGAAAUUCACUUUUUUCUCUCUCUUUCUCAUGCUGGCGGCUGGUUGCAGAAAAACAGAGUAUAUAAGUACCUGCGGUCACGCCGCGCGUGAAGAACACCACGCUGCGCGUGACCGGCACCAGAGGCUACUCCAAACCCAUUCCCGCAAUUACGCCGCGCGUGAGGGAAGCUACGCCGCGCGUGAUUGCAACAGAGCCUGCCCCAACCUCAUCCUGCAGUAACGCCGCGCGCCAACAUGCCACGCCCCCGGCGUGGUACAAACCUCCAAGUUCAUCAAUACAUCAUUUCUCAAGGCAAAUCUUCACA
rnacentral:lncRNA from 1 species